rnacentral:sRNA from 1 species
UCUGAGACCGGGAGGAAGGGAAGGAAGAGGUUGAGACUUAACCUGGUCUUGGUUGAGAUACACUGGGAAGGCUGGAAUCUCUGAAGACAUUGAAGAUUUAGAACAAAGAAGUAUGCUGAUGUGAUCAUCCCUAGAGGUGCAGAUAAUCUGGUGGCCAUCAACCUCAUCGUGCAGCACAUCCAGGACAUCCUGAAUGGAGGGCCCUCCAAACGGCAGACCAAUGGCUGUCUCAACGGCUACACCCCUUCACGCAAGAGGCAGGCAUCGGAGUCCAGCAGCAGGCCGCAUUGACCCGUCUCCAUCGGACCCCAGCCCCUAUCUCCAAGAGACAGAGGAGGGGUCAGGAGGCACUGCUCAUCUGUACAUACUGUUUCCUAUGACAUUACUGUAUUUAAGAAAACACCAUGGAGAUGAAA